CACUCACUGCAACACAAAAGGAUCUUGGACACAAUGCCUGGUCUCUUUGUGCUUCGGUUUCUCUAUUUGUAAAAACGGGGAUAACAAUAUAAUCUCCUUCAUAAUGAGAUUCCAUAUAUAAGUGGUAUCAUAAAUGAAGUGAUAUCUAUAAAGAGCUCUGGGAAAUUCCUGGCAGGUGAGAUAAGCCCUUUAUACAUGUUAGCUCCGGAAAUAUCCAAUAAAUCUAUCUAAAGAAGAAAUGAUUGGGAUGAAGAUAUGGAGCAUUACAGGAGCCAAGAACAAAGAAGGAAAAGAAAAGGGAAAAGAUAGUAGAGGGGAUGAUUCUAGAAGGAAAGGAAAAGGGCCUUCAUGGAUAUGACAUGAUCUUGGGUUGGUUCAAGGAAGGCAAUAAUGAAUACAAUGAGGUUACUAUCACAGGACAAGGUUUGGCAAAUAGCAAUUGCUCAGUAAAUGUUGAAAGCAAAUGAAAGUAGGCACUUUCACAUGUUCUUUUUUCUUUGGACUUCCUUUUGAAGACAUCAAGUCAACCAAGAAAUAACAUACUUAAUUGCAGUUUUAUGAAAGGCAUUUUCACAUUAUUCAAUUCAUUAUCACCUUAACUCUCAGUAAAUGUUGAGGACGAAAGGAGCAAUAUAGUUUGUAUUCUGAUGGUCUGACUUUUAGGAAUCUGGAAAAAGCUGGAGAAAUUGAUAUAAAUUGGAAAAAGAAAUAACAAUAUUGACCUUCUCAUACAUAUAUCCUCAGUCAUCACUGUCUCCUAGCUAUCAACUCCCCACUUGUGUGAAUUUAGAGUUUAAUUUUUAUUUGCAAACUCUAGACAUUAUGGGUAUGUUAGCUGAGCUUUCAGUAGUCAAAUAAAAUGACAUCAGAAUAUUUCAAGCAUAAAUAGCUACUGAGGCAGAAAAAAAAGAUGUCAAGACUAGAAUACCUAUUAUCCAGCAAGAACAAAAUUACAGGGCAUAUUUUAAAAAAUAAGUCAUAGCUGGUAGAAACCAUAAAUUUAACUUGGUUGCAUUUAUCCCUCUUCCAGAGAUUACUGGACAGGGAGAAUGAUUGGCUGAAAGUCAUAAAACAAGAAACGAGAAAUGCUGGAUUUACAAUUGGGUUAGGCGUUAUAUCUGCCCGCAAUUUUGACCUUUGUGAUUUGCCUUUCUUCAAUUCUAGAAUUCUUUGGGGUCUAAAAUAAGGGAUCCAAUGGAUAAACACUGGGAUCUGCAGCUAGGCAGUCUUCCCUUUCAGAGUAUGACAGAGACAGAAACAGUUGCCUCUGAGGCACCUUAUCAUGAUACUUGAAAGAUGCCCCAUAAAUUUCUGCUCCUAAUGUUCCAAGAAUUCUCCCGGCUGUUGACCUUCCAGAGAUAAAAAUUUUAGCAUUGUGGCACCCUAUCUCUUUUCUAUAAAUUCCCUUUGGACUUCAGAGAGCCAGAGUUGCUUUUCCAUCUUGCAAACAAAAAACAUUAGAUAAGCCUAAAUUUGCCAAUUCCUGAUUAUCUUUCUCACAAAAUGCCAGGAUACUGAACAUGAGGUAGGUCAAGCAAAUCCACUACAGUAUUUUGAUUGAAUCUAAGGACUCCUUUCUUAGCUUCCACGUAGGGUUUGGGAAAGGAGCUUGUGUACAAGUGGCUUAUCUGGGAGGUGAUCUUGGGAAGCAGGAGCCAGGACUAGAAGAGAAUAAAAUAAAAGAGGGAAGGAAACCAAGGAAAAAAGUACCUUAUCCAGUUGGCCAUAACAGUCCCACUGGAACUUUAAAGACUAUAUAGAAUUAUUUCCUGGAGGCAUGAAAGGAAAAGAUAACCCAUAACCCCGUUCCUCUCUUGUUGAGGGUUGCCUAUGGGCAUUUACUACUUUUUCUACAAUUCCAUGUCUUCCCAACAGACUCUUGCAGGUAUCCUCUGCUAAGGGAAAGCAAUGAGAGGAAAUAAUGGCUAAGGCAAGAACUAAAAAAUAAAAGAAAUUGAUUAAGUGCAAUGGCUGUAGGGUAGAUAAAUAUAGCAAAAUAUUACAGAUCUACACAUUAUCUUACUUAAUAUUGAGAUGUAUAUUAUUUCCAUUUACUGAUGAAAUAAUUCACAUUCUGAAAAAUUUAAAUGAUUCUCUCAUAACCACAAGGUCAGUAACCAAUGAAGCAAUCACUUUAUUAUUAACUUUGGAAAGUCAAUCUGUUUCCUCACUGGCUCUUGAAAAAUACUUUAAAUAUCUUAAAUAUAUACUCUCCACCUUUGCCUCUGAUCUUAUUGAAGGUAUGUGUGUUAUGUUUUUUCUCCAAUAUCUUCAGGGAGGUGUUUUGUUUUAUCUAACAUGGCUUAUUUCACUGUAUUAGCUGGGAAAUAAGGGGGCAAAUAAUAAUAAAUGAAAAAUAUUAAUUAAGCUUUUAUUAGAUCUAGGCAAUGCUCUAGUUUAAGUUGUUUACAUGCAUUUGCUAAUUUAAUUUUCACUGCAACUCCAUACCAUAGCUCUAUCAUGAUAUUUAUUUAUUUUCUUUGAAAGGUUUGUUUUAUUAAGACUUUUUUUAUUAAAUCACAUAAUAGGCAUUUUGUGCAGUCUUAUUCAUUAUUAGUUUAUCAUGAUAUUUACUUCAUAUAUUAGAAAAAAUGAGGCAGAGAGUAGUUAAGUGAUCUGCCCAAGAUUACCCAAGAAAUCCCAUUCUAAAGUGGUGCCUCGCCCACUGUCAUACACGGCCUAAUAUCUUGCAUGUGUCUGUGCCAUUCAAAGCAAUCUAAUCAUGAGAAGUUCAGUUAGAGACUGGGGGAAAGCUCGGGUAUCUUCUGAGUUCGUUUGCAAAGUUAUUUAAUUUUUGACCUCUGCAUGAUUAUUAAUAUUAAAAAUUCAUACUAGAAAUAGAAAGUUUCAACACUAUUUUUUUGAUCUCUCGUUAUGUGCUAAAUGCUUUACGUAGUGACUUAUUUCAUCUUCUCUGUAGUCUUAGGAGGUAGGAUUUAGGGGAUGAAGACCGAGUCUCAGAGACAUUCAAUAACUUACCAAAGGUCACUCAGUUGCAAUGAUAGACAUAAUUAAAUUAGCAUUCUGGCUGAGACUUCAAAGCCCUGCUCUGUAAUCUAAAUGUGUAAGGAUAUUUAUGGGAAGGAUGGUUCUAUUCAAACAUCAAAUGUGGAGUUGAACUCUAUAAAGUACAAUGGCUUACAAUUUUUUUUUUUUUUGGUCUUUCCAAUCAUAUCUAGUACUAGUACUUUUUAAAUUUUUUU